UCCCCGUUACCAGGGCAGUCUGACUAGAAAAAUUCAACUAGUCAUAAGGGUUGCGCUCGUUAAUGGACUUAACCAAACAUCUCACGACACGAGCUGACGACGGCCAUGCAACACCUGUCACUGAGCUCCCGAAGGCACUCACUCCUUUCGGAGUAAUUCUCAGGAUGUCAAGCCUUGGUAAGGUUCUUCGCUUACCAUCGAAUUAAACAACACGCUCCACCGCUUGUGCGGGUCCCCGUCAAUUCCUUUGAGUUUUAGUCUUGCGACCGUACUCCCCAGGCGGAAUACUUAACGCGUUAGCUUCGCUACAUACCGGGUCGAUACGGCAUACAGCUAGUAUUCAUCGUUUACGGCGUGGACUAC
rnacentral:misc_RNA from 1 species